CUUUUAGUACAGCAGCACAGUAUAGCAGUGGCCGUGGGUGGUGGGUCUGACAUGCGAAGCUAGCAGUUUGUGUAGCUAGAUGUGUUGGAAUGAAACAGAGUGCCUAGUGGGUUGAGAGUUGUAUCCAUGGGCAAGUAUAAAUUAUGGGUAUUGGUUUGCAUUUGGGGCCCAGGCAUAGGCAGGAAUCGCAGAAGGAAUAGGUUUGUCACUUUGAAGUCUCAGAAAGUGUUGCAGACACCCAGUAGCACCCAGCACCAUUAAAAGUGAGUGACUAGGAAGUGUUUCCAGAUAGUGCAACCCACUGUCCCAUGGUAUAAUCCAGGAAAGGUUUGUUUUCUUCAGUGUGAAUGUAUAUUUUGGUAGAGUGUGCCAUUCACGUUAAGACUGAAGUGGCUUAAAUUGAGGAAACCUAGCAGGAAGGUAACAAAUGUUCUAAGCCAAUAAAUGGUAUUUAAGCGUUUGAAAUCAUGAGGGUAGGACUGUGAUGGAUUCUGUGAUAUUUCCAGCAGUCACAUUUCUGGCAGAGUUAUGCAGACUUGGUUCAUAGCAGAGCAUCCUGCUUUAGGCUGAACAUACAUUUUAUGUUACAGGGAAUAAUUUGGCAAUUUGAGUCUUGCAUUUUGUGGCUUUUAACAUCUGGGUUCUGAAUAGGUUCUGUGUCAAUAGAGUGAGACUGACUGGCUUCGUGAACUGUUUGGAAUUUCUGUGCUUGUAACAAAAAGAGAUGCUAAGGUGUGACUUCCAGCCUGCUAUUUCGGAGAAAGGAAAGGACGUGCUGGUUUAUGGGUCCCCUUAUCUUCAACACCUGUGGAAAUCACAACUGGAUUAAAAAAAAAAAGAACAGCUGUAUUCAAAUGGGAACCCAGUUGGAAGGAAGCUGAGAUGCAGGAAUUCAGUUUUAAAUAAUAGACAUAAUUGCCCUUAAGGGUUCAAAUUAAAAGUGAGGCCCUUUUUGGUUUACGUACUUGACAUAAGCAGAUGGAAAUCAUAUUGAGUGUAACUACAGAUUAAUGCAAGUCAGGAAACAUACUUUUGUAAGGAAGUGAGAGUCAGAGAGACUGCACUGUAAAAAUGCAAUGUGGUCUAACCUUGGUUGGCUAAUAAUGUACUUUAAUGGGAGUUGCUGCAGGCAGAUAAAAUUCUCUUCUGCAUGAAUUUCUGAGCAGUCAGGCUAAGAAGGGAAAGGAGGAACAUGGAACUUGAGCUCUCUUUAUGGCUUAGAACUUGAGCCCCUUUUGUCUAGAAAUAAUUAAAGGAGAAAAUCUUUUACUAGGACCAAGUCAGUUGCUUAUGAACGUAUCUAAUAAAAUUGAAAUAGUGGCAGUACUCUCUAGGCACAUUAGUUCUAUUUUGAAAGUUGGCAAAGAAGAAUUUUAAUUUAGAGAAUUCGUAUUGAAGUAGUCUAAAACUUGUGGGUACAGCUGAAGGGAUUUACAGUUUUGAGUGUUCAAGUUUUGUGCAUUUCUUCAUAUUUUUUUUAGCCUAGCUGACCGGUCUGCAUAAUGAAACAAGAUUUUUUUUUAAGGCCCUGUAAUGCAGAGGGAUUUAGAACUACAGACUGCUUCUGAAAAUGUUUUCAUUCAUCCCUAAACGUGAUGAUAUUAUUCAAACUUAAGAACCAUUCAGAGUCAAGAUAAAUGUACCUAUGCUGUCCUCCUCACAAGUGCCUUCUUAUACCAUUCUCUUUUUUUUUUAACAGAAAGCCAGCAAGCCUUCGCACAUCUUUCUAAUCUGAAACACAGCAAAAUCUGUCUCUCAUUUUUGCUGUUGAGUGUUCAAACCCCAGGAAUUGUGUUUUUUAAUCUGCUCUGUAUGUAUUCCUGCGGUUUACAUUUUUUUGCUAAUUAAAAUACUGCGUAUUUCUUUCACUCAUCUGAUGAGAAACAUUUGUAGUCCGUAUUUCCAGGAAUUUUUUAAUACUUUCUAGAAUUACAGCUGAGACACCACGUCCUUAUCAGCUUUUGUAAAUGGAGGAGGUCUGUGGGAGCAGAUGGCUAAAUUAGAAGGAAAUCAGUGAGUGAGUAGAAGCAGCUCCAUUGAUUCCAAAGCUGUAAAAUUCGCAAAGCAGCACUGUUUUUCAUCCAUAAAUGUUCUGCAGUUCAUGUUUUUUAUUUAGUUACUGCCUGUAUAAUUCUUGCUCCACAGAGUGCAGCUAAUACUUUUAUUUUACAAAAUAAACAACCUCAGAUUAAUUGGAUAAUAAAAGCUUUGCUACGCUUGCAUUUUUCUACUUUACAUGCUAUUACUGGAAGACUGAGAGAUAAGCUUUAUUUGUUUGGAGAUAUCUAGAGUGAUGGUUUCAACAAUAAGCCCUCAAAGAUCAAAUAUGCAUGUCUGCAAUUUUUUAAUGUAAAAUACGGUGACCUUUCCCCCUUCAGAUCCAGAUUAUCUAGGAUGACAUAAUUGUGGCAAUCAGGAAAUGAUAGAAGCAAUGAUGCUUUAGAAGACAUUAAUACAACAUAUACUUGCUUUUUAAUAGGUAGUCCUGCAGGUAUUUCUGCUUCUCUUUGCUGCAGCAUACUGAUAGUGAUAUGGACAGGUCAAAAUAGUAUAGAAUGCAGCUGACAGACUAGCAAGAGCUUGAAGCUUUUGCAUAUUUACUUUUCCAGUGCAGUCAAUCAAUCCCCUUAAGGAAUGGAACUGAAAUAAGAACAGUUUGGCUCUGAACUAACUAUAUAUCAUAUUGUUGCUGUCACAAGCUGUUUGCUCUUGUGACAGUCCAAAGUUUGAAUUGAAGGCCUCUGUGGAAAAUCGGCCUGAAGUCUGGAGGGUGUUGAAAUGCAGAAGUGAGGACUGGACCACAAUAUAGUCUUUUAAAAAUCCCUGUGGUAGUUUCUAAGAAGAUAGAGAAAACUAAUUCUGAUGGUCUAGCUAAGCUCAAAUUUGUUUGAUGCUUUGGGCUUCUAUAAUAUUCCAAAAUUCUAUGAUACAAGGUUUUAUUUCUACAGUCUUAAUGCAAAGAACAGAUUUAUGGUGCAGACCUAAGCAGAGGAGUUCUCAUGUUACUGUGUUGUUCUUGUAAUGGCUGUCAGCAUCUCUGGGUUUGUAAUGGUUUCUUAUUUUUCUUGAUUGCCAUUUGGAUACAUACCACUGUGACCUACUUUACAGGGUCGUAGUCAAACAGGAUUUCUAGUCUCUGUGAUUAAACCUUUGUGGUCUCUUUUUAAUAAAUUAAUUGCUCAUGCUUUCUUCUCGCUCUUCAUUUGUUUUCUGACCUGGAAAGUGAAAGCACAUUUCCACAUUUUUAUCUUCCAUUGGAAAUUGAAUAUAUUCAGCCAGUCUGAAAUCCCUGGGAAAAGAAGAUUCUGGCUAAAGGAGUUGUCAAAUGGCACAGUCUUGGCAAGAGAGAAGUUUUGUGCCAUCAGUUUGCAGUCCCCGUCCCUGAACACUACAGAAGAGCUUUGGGAAGAGUGUAUCUACAUCCAGGAGUGACUUUUCUCCUGUCUUGCCUCCCUGGUAAUUAGCUUAUCCAUACAAGGCUGAACGCUACGCUACAGGAGGAGUUCUAAACCACCUCCUGUAAUUGGUCCUGAAGUCAAAACCUACUUCACUGAACAUGAAGCUGAAGGGAAACUGAAGAAUAUAGACUAGGAUUUCAACUUAAUCUGGGGAACUGUGGAGUGUGCCGCACUUCAAAAAUCCAGAAGGAGAAUGGAAAACUAAACUUGCAUAAGCCUGAGUACAGCACACAGAUGAUUUGAGAAGGAUGCCUCAGAACGUAAUGACAUUACAUGACUGAAGGCACAGUGCUGGUAUUGUGAUAUCUGGAUUUGAUGGUGAAAGAG
ensembl:lncRNA